UCCCCGUUAUCCGAGGCAGUUUCCUAACAGUUCCGUCCGAUAUGGACAUGGCAAGAUAGGAUAAGGGUUGCGCUCGUUGCGGGACUUAACCCAAUAUCUCACGACACGAGCUGACGACAGCCAUGCAGCACCUCUGCUGGUUACCGACUUUACGGUCCGCCUCGACUUUCAUCAAGACUACUUCCAGUAGUUCAAGCCCAGGUAAGGUUCUUCGCGUUGCGUCGAAUUAAACCACAUGCUCCACCGCUUGUGCGGGCCCCCGUCAAUUCCUUUGAGUUUCAACCUUGCGGCCGUACUCCCCAGGCGGCACAUUUAAUGCGUUAGCGUCGGCACGAAGGGGGUCGAUACCCCUCACGCCUAAUGUGCAUCGUUUACAGCUAGGACUAC
rnacentral:misc_RNA from 1 species